rnacentral:misc_RNA from 1 species
ACAAAAGGGGACUUACGUUCCCGAAAUCCUGUAUUCACCCCAAGUUCCUUCAAAAUUUCAAUAAAAAAUUAACGCAAAAGACCACCUCAGUUUCGGUGGCGUCUAAUGCACAAAGCGAA